rnacentral:rRNA from 1 species
GGCUCAGGACGAACGCGGGCGGCGUGCCUAACACAUGCAAGUCGAGCGAGAGACUUCGGUCUCUAGCGGCGGACGGGUGAGUAACACGUGGGUAACCUGCCUCAUAGAGGGGGAUAGCCUUCCGAAAGGAAGAUUAAUACCGCAUAACGUAUUUUGGUCGCAUGACUGAAAUAUCAAAGGAGUAAUCCGCUAUGAGAUGGACCCGCGGCGCAUUAGCUAGUUGGUGAGGUAACGGCUCACCAAGGCGACGAUGCGUAGCCGACCUGAGAGGGUGAUCGGCCACAUUGGAACUGAGAUACGGUCCAAACUCCUACGGGAGGCAGCAGUGGGGAAUAUUGCACAAUGGGCGAAAGCCUGAUGCAGCAACGCCGCGUGAGUGAUGAAGGCCUUCGGGUUGUAAAGCUCUGUCUUUGGGGACGAUAAUGACGGUACCCAAGGAGGAAGCCACGGCUAACUACGUGCCAGCAGCCGCGGUAAUACGUAGGUGGCAAGCGUUGUCCGGAUUUACUGGGCGUAAAGGAUGCGUAGGUGGAUAUUUAAGUCAGAUGUGAAAUACCCGAGCUUAACUUGGGUGCUGCAUUUGAAACUGGAUAUCUAGAGUGCAGGAGAGGUAAGUGGAAUUCCUAGUGUAGCGGUGAAAUGCGUAGAGAUUAGGAAGAACACCAGUGGCGAAGGCGACUUACUGGACUGUAACUGACACUGAGGCAUGAAAGCGUGGGGAGCAAACAGGAUUAGAUACCCUGGUAGUCCACGCCGUAAACGAUGAGUACUAGGUGUAGGAGGUAUCGACUCCUUCUGUGCCGCAGUUAACACAAUAAGUACUCCGCCUGGGAAGUACGG